CCUUCAUGAAGCUGGAAUUGCUAGUAAUGGCAGGUCAGCAUACUGCCGUGAAUACGUUCCCGGGCCUUGUACACACCGCCCGUCACACCAUGAGAGUUGGAAAUACCCGAAGCCUGUGAGCUAACUUAAAGAGGCAGCAGUCGAAGGUAGAGCCAAUGAUUGGGGUGAAGUCGUAACAAGGUACC
rnacentral:rRNA from 1 species